rnacentral:rRNA from 1 species
CGUUGAAGGUGAAUCGUAAGGUUUGCUGGAGGUAUCAGAAGUGCGAAUGCUGACAUGAGUAACGAUAAAGGGGGUGAAAAACCCCCUCGCUGAAAGACCAAGGGUUCCUGUCCAACGUUAAUCGGGGCAGGGUGAGUCGACCCCUAAGGCGAGGGCGAAAGCCGUAGUCGAUGGGAAACAGGUUAAUAUUCCUGUACCACCACGUGAUGCGAUGGAGGGACGGAGUAGGCUAGGCGAUCGCGGCGUUGGUUGUCCGCGUUUAAGCUAGUAGGCUGAGGACUUAGGCAAAUCCGGGUCCUUAAGGCUGAGAGGUGAUGACGAGCUCUCUUUUGAGCGAAGUCGUUGAUGCCAUGCUUCCAAGAAAAUCUUCUAAGCUUCAGGUUAUAACGAACCGUACCCCAAACCGACAC